rnacentral:rRNA from 1 species
AAAUGAAUAGACGGGGGCCCGCACAAGCAGUGGAGUAUGUGGUUUAAUUCGAAGCAACGCGAAGAACCUUACCAGGGCUUGACAUACCAUUGACGUACUUAGAGAUAGGUAUUUCCUUCGGGACAAUGGAUACAGGUGGUGCAUGGUUGUCGUCAGCUCGUGUCGUGAGAUGUUGGGUUAAGUCCCGCAACGAGCGCAACCCCUGUUGUUAGUUGCCAUCAUUAAGUUGGGCACUCUAGCGAGACUGCCGGUGACAAAUCGGAGGAAGGUGGGGACGACGUCAAAUCAUCAUGCCCCUUAUGUCCUGGGCUACACACGUACUACAAUGGCUAUUACAGAGGGAAGCGAAGCCGCGAGGUGGAGCAAAUCUCCAAAAAUAGUCCCAGUUCAGAUUGUAGGCUGAAACUCGCCUACAUGAAGUCGGAAUUGCUAGUAAUGGCAGGUCAGCAUACUGCCGUGAAUACGUUCCCGGGCCUUGUACACACCGCCCGU